UGGUUAGGCCACCUUUAAUGGUUUAUUUUGGAUUUAACAAAUUUUUUUUUGAUGUUAGUAGAUGUAGAAAGAAAACUUUAUUGUUUAAGCUAGAGUGGAAAAGUACCGUGAGGGAAAAUAAUUGGGUAUUUAAGCUUUUUUUUAGUAGGGGUGAAAUCCUGUACCUUUUGCAUCAUGGUUUUUUAAGAGGUUUUUUGAAUAAAGUUGGCCCGAAAGAAGACGAGCUAUUCUUUAGCUUGCGUCAUCGUUGUAAAGAUGUGCUGAGACUAAAGGAUAGGAGUGAUAUUCUUUUCGCGUUUUUUGAUAGCUGGUUAGUUGGGAAAAGCAUUAGAGUGCCGGCUUAACCUGUGGUUCUGGCUGUUGUGCAGUGUCGUGUUACGGCAUUGGAUUUAGCGGGGAGUAGUGUUGGGUUAAGUCUUGCGCAAAAAAGGAUUAGCUUUUUUGCGUUGUUAAAGAGCGUAUAGUUGAUAGCGUAAUGAUAGUUUAGUAGGCUUGGAGUUAGUCAUCUUUUAAGUUUGUUUUAAGAUAUUUAUUUAUUUUAGCUAAAAAUUUGUGUGUGCGUUUUUAAGUGAUUUAGUUGUGAGUACCGACUUUAUUGAUAUAAUUAAGUUUAUUUGUGGAAUAAUGAGGAAAUGAGUAUUUAUUUUCAUUUAGUUUGUUUUUGCUUGUUAAAGUAAGUAAACUAAAGUUCAAUUUAUGUGUUUCAUUGAAAAGAUAUAAAUCUAGAAAAGGAACUCGGCAAAUGUCGGCCUCGCCUGUUUAGCAAAAACAUGGCUCCUCGGUUAUCUAAGUGAAUGGGGAGUCGGACCUGCCCGGUGACCUAAGGGUUAAACGGCCGCGGUACACUGACCGUGCAAAGGUAGCACAAUCACUUGCCUUUUAAUUGGAGGCUGGUAUGAAUGGUUUGACGAGGGCUAAGCUGUCUCUUCUGGAAUAUUUAAAAAUUAACUUCUAGGUGAAAAGGCUUAGAUUUAGCUGAGGGACGAGAAGACCCUGUUGAGCUUUAGUGUGGAAUAAAAGGCUUUGCCCCUAUUUUAGGUAGAGGGCCGGAAUUUAUUUUUACAUCUUUAGUUGGGGUGACUGGGGAACAAUAAGUAGCUUCUCUGUUUUUAUUGAAUUGAAUUCGGUUUACUGACUGGUGAUCCAGCAUUGUUGAUUAUCGGAAAAAGUUACCACAGGGAUAACAGCGUAAUCUUUCUGGAGAGUUCACAUUGAAAGAAGGGUUUGCGACCUCGAUGUUGGAUUAAGGUGUCCUGAGGGUGUAGCAGCUUUCGUUGGUUGGUCUGUUCGACCAUUAAAACCUUACAUGAUCUGAGUUCAGACCGGCGUAAGCCAGGUUGGUUUCUAUCUUCAGCUUGUUAUAUUCCUUUGGCUAGUACGAAAGGACCGUUAUUAAGGUGAAUAUUUAAUUUAUUGGGACUGAAUUUAUUUAAGUUCGGGAUUAAGAAGUGU
rnacentral:rRNA from 1 species